rnacentral:rRNA from 1 species
AUUGAACGCUGGCGGCAUGCCUAACACAUGCAAGUCGAACGGCAGCAUUAUCUAGCUUGCUAGAUAGAUGGCGAGUGGCGAACGGGUGAGUAACGCGUAGGAAUAUACCUUAAAGUGGGGACGAACUUGGGAAACGUCAAGCUAAUACCGCAUAAUCUCUGAGGAGAGAAGCUGGGGACCGUAAGGCCUGGCGCUUUAAGAUUAGCCUGCGUCCGAUUAGCUAGUUGGUAGGGUAAAGGCCUACCAAGGCGACGAUCGGUAGCUGGUCUGAGAGGAUGGCCCAGCCACACUGGGGACUGAGACACGGCCCAGACUCCUACGGGUGGCAG